UAGGGAAUCUUCCGCAAUGGGCGAAAGCCUGACGGAGCAACGCCGCGUGAGUGAUGAAGGUCUUCGGAUCGUAAAACUCUGUUAUUAGGGAAGAACAAAUGUGUAAGUAACUAUGCACGUCUUGACGGUACCUAAUCAGAAAGCCACGUCUAACUACGUGCCAGCAGCCGCGGUAAUACGUAGGUGGCAAGCGUUAUCCGGAAUUAUUGGGCGUAAAGAGCGCGUAGGCGGUUUUUUAAGUCUGAUGUGAAAGCCCACGGCUCAACCGUGGAGGGUCAUUGGAAACUGGAAAACUUGAGUGCAGAAGAGGAAAGUGGAAUUCCAUGGGUAGCGGUGAAAUGCGCAGAGAUAUGGAGGAACACCAGUGGCGAAGGCGACUUUCUGGUCUGUAACUGACGCUGAUGUGCGAAAGCGUGGGGAUCAAACAGG
rnacentral:rRNA from 1 species